rnacentral:rRNA from 1 species
UACGAAGGGGGCUAGCGUUGUUCGGAUUUACUGGGCGUAAAGCGCACGUAGGCGGAUCGUUAAGUCGGGGGUGAAAUCCUGGAGCUCAACUCCAGAACUGCCUUCGAUACUGGCGAUCUUUGAGUCCGGGAAGAGGUGAGUGGAACUCCUAGUGUAGAGGUGGAAUUCGUAGAUAUUAGGAAGAACACCAGUGGCGAAGGCGGCUCACUGGUCCGGUACUGACGCUGAGGUGCGAAAGCGUGGGGGAGCAAAACAGG